rnacentral:rRNA from 1 species
CCUACGGGAGGCUGCAGUAGGGAAUAUUGCUCAAUGGGGGAAACCCUGAAGCAGCAACGCCGCGUGGAGGAUGAAGGUUUUCGGAUUGUAAACUCCUUUUGUUAGAGAAGAUAAUGACGGUAUCUAACGAAUAAGCACCGGCUAACUCCGUGACAGCAGCCGCGGUAAUACGGAGGGUGCAAGCGUUACUCGGAAUCACUGGGCGGAAAGAGCGCGUAGGCGGGAUAGCAAGUCAGAUGUGAAAUCCUAUGGCUUAACCAUAGAACUGCAUUUGAAACUGUUAUUCUAGAGUAUGGGAGAGGUAGGUGGAAUUCUUGGUGUAGGGGUAAAAUCCGUAGAGAUCAAGAGGAAUACUCAUUGGGAAGGCGACCUGCUAGAACAUAACUGACGCUGAUGCGCGAAAGCGUGGGGAGCAAACAGGAUUAGAUACCCGAGUAGUC